rnacentral:rRNA from 1 species
UACGUAGGGUGCGAGCGUUGUCCGGAAUUAUUGGGCGUAAAGAGCUCGUAGGCGGCCUGUCGCGUCGGAUGUGAAAGCCCGGGGCUCAACCCCGGGUCUGCAUUCGAUACGGGCAGGCUGGAGUGUGGUAGGGGAGAUCGGAAUUCCUGGUGUAGCGGUGAAAUGCGCAGAUAUCGGGAGGAACACCAAUGGCGAAGGCGGCUCUCUGGGACGGUACUGACGCUGAGACGCGAAAGCGUGGGGAGCGAACAGG